rnacentral:rRNA from 1 species
AAGCAUAUCAAUAAGCGGAGGAAAAGAAACCAACAGGGAUUGCCCUAGUAACGGCGAGUGAAGCGGCAACAGCUCAAAUUUGAAAUCUGGCUUCGGCCCGAGUUGUAAUUUGCAGAGGAAGCUUUAGGCGCGGCACCUUCUGAGUCCCCUGGAACGGGGCGCCAUAGAGGGUGAGAGCCCCGUAUAGUUGGAUGCCUAGCCUGUGUAAAGCUCCUUCGACGAGUCGAGUAGUUUGGGAAUGCUGCUCAAAAUGGGAGGUAAAUUUCUUCUAAAGCUAAAUACCGGCCAGAGACCGAUAGCGCACAAGUAGAGUGAUCGAAAGAUGAAAAGCACUUUGAAAAGAGGGUUAAAUAGCACGUGAAAUUGUUGAAAGGGAAGCGCUUGUGACCAGACUUGCGCCGGGCGGAUCAUCCGGUGUUCUCACCGGUGCACUCCGCCCGGCUCAGGCCAGCAUCGGUUCUCGCGGGGGGAUAAAGGUCCUGGGAACGUAGCUCCUCCGGGAGUGUUAUAGCCCGGGGCGUAAUGCCCUCGCGGGGACCGAGGUUCGCGCAUCUGCAAGGAUGCUGGCGUAAUGGUCAUCAGCGACCCGUCUUGAAACACGGACCAAGGAGUCAAGGUUUUGCGCGAGUGUUUGGGUGUAAAACCCGCACGCGUAAUGAAAGUGAACGUAGGUGAGAGCUUCGGCGCAUCAUCGACCGAUCCUGAUGUUUUCGGAUGGAUUUGAGUAGGAGCGUUAAGCCUUGGACCCGAAAGAUGGUGAACUAUGCUUGGAUAGGGUGAAGCCAGAGGAAACUCUGGUGGAGGCUCGCAGCGGUUCUGACGUGCAAAUCGAUCGUCAAAUCUGAGCAUGGGGGCGAAAGACUAAUCGAACCAUCUAGUAGCUGGUUACCGCCG